UGGGGAAUCUUCCGCAAUGGACGAAAGUCUGACGGAGCAACGCCGCGUGUAUGAUGAAGGUCUUCGGAUUGUAAAGUACUGUCAUUGGGGAAGAACGGUUUUCUUGAAAAGAUUGAGAAGACAUGACGGUACCCAAGGAGGAAGCCCCGGCUAACUACGUGCCAGCAGCCGCGGUAAUACGUAGGGGGCAAGCGUUGUCCGGAAUUAUUGGGCGUAAAGGGCGCGUAGGCGGGCCUUUAAGUCCGGUGUGAAAGAUCAGGGCUCAACCCUGAGAGUGCAUCGGAAACUGGAGGCCUUGAGGACAGGAGAGGAAAGUGGAAUUCCACGUGUAGCGGUGAAAUGCGUAGAUAUGUGGAGGAACACCAGUGGCGAAGGCGACUUUCUGGACUGUAACUGACGCUGAGGCGCGAAAAGCGUGGGGAGCAAAACAGGAUUAGAUACCCUGGUAGUCCACGCCGUAAACGAUGAGUGCUAGGUGUAGAGGGUAUCGACCCCUUCUGUGCCGCAGUUAACACAAUAAGCACUCCGCCUGGGGAGUACGGCCGCAAGGUUG
rnacentral:rRNA from 1 species